GCUAGUGGAAUAAUUAAAUAUUUAUUGGGAAAAUUUAAGUAGCCUAUUUAGUUAGCACUGGAGUUGCCAUCCGCCCUAUAAAAUAUGGAAUUGUCUACAAGAUACGGAAUAGUCCGGUAUUUUGGCAAAUAAAUUUUACGUCCCGAAGCGAUAUGGAAAGCGAUUUGUAGUGUAUAUGAUUUGUUCCUAUCUCGCACCAGCAGCGGGCGAGAGGCGGGGUACACCUGGACAGGUAGCCAGUCCAUAGCAGUCUGUUCAUUAGGAUAAAUGAAAUUAUUGGCUUUCAUAUUUUAAUUUCACAAUUUUCAUAAUCUACAUGAGAAGCCACAAUGGGCGUUUCUUCUUGAAACUUAUGAAAGGUGGCAACCCCAGUUAGCACACCUCAUGUUAUAGAAUAUCAGUUAGCAUCUAUGAUGGAUCAAUGGUGUGAUUCUGUUGUGUUCAUUGCAGCUCGGCUGCUUGCUUUUAACAUGGGUUUAAUUCACCACUUCAUGAUAAUUUUACUCUUUCACCAGAGUCAUCUGGCGGGCUGAUGAGUUUAAACUUAAAUGGCUUUGUGUUCUUUGUUAUUGUGUUUAACAUUGCUUUGUCACUGACACUGUUGAUUAUUCAGGCCUGUGCAUGAGGGGACAGAAACCAGGAGCUCCAAAAUUAACCUGAAUUGGAGCUUGUCUGAACUGAACAACUUUGUGUGUCAAAGCUACCCACACAUCAGCCUAAAUCUGGUUGGCUUUGAACUGGCAAGAGCUGGAAAAGGACGAAAGGUAAAAAAAAAAAUUACAAGUGAAUUCUGUAAGGGAGCUGAAGGAAAAGGUUGGCAAAAGCAGAUCCUACAUUUUGCCACGAGCAGAUGUGUCACACGUAUGAUUGUUUUUUACACAAAAAUAAUUUUAUGUAGUGUGGUACAUCCAAAGUAAUAUCUUCCACUAUAAUUUGAAAUGUCUUGGCCAUGUCUAGGAAACCUGUCAACCUCAGCAAUGUCCAGGAGUUUGUUUGCAGAACCCUCAACUGCACCAGAAGUACAGGAUGUCUCUCCAGAGGUUGAGAGAGUACCAACAGACAACAUUUGGAGGAAGAGCAGAUUGGCGAUCUCUGUGGUCCCAGCAAGACGAAGAGUAUGAAGAGUCUUUUUUAGCAGACCAAGAAAAUAAGGAGAAUGCAGUCCCAUUACCCUUGGAAUGAUACUGGAGUUUGUUUCUGGAGCAUCCACUGUACCUCCACUGGGCUUUCCCCAUCGUCCACAAAUUGAAUUCCUCCAUGAGGCUAACAGAGUCUUCCCAGAAGCAAAUACUUGCCUGAUAGUACUCUGCCUUCCUGUACACCCAGACUAUGAGUCUUUCACAAAGUACAUGACAGACGGGGUGCUGCAGGGACCUACCUUUGGUGUUGCAUAAUCAGCUAAUAACUGUAAUAAGCAUUUCUUUUAAAAUAGAGUUGGAAUGUUUUGAAAAGUUAAGUAUUUUAAAGCAAGUUAUAGUAAAGGUAAUGUAAUGGCCGAAAUAUUGGAAUGUAAAUACAAUAUUGGCUUCUCUUUUUUUUUGCAAAGAAUAGGAGUCUUUUUAACCACUUUUUGGUUUCACAAUUUAAAGGUGUACAUUUAAGCCACACUGCAAAUCAAAAGGUCUACUCUGGUAAUGAACACUGCUCAAUUGCUCUCCAGAAUGUGUAAUUAAUUUGUUAUAUCUUUAAACACCUUAACAUUUAUAAUUAAAUCUGAAAGGUUACCUACUCAUGUCAAUUCUGAGUUUUAUUUGUAGUAAUUGUAGCUUUAGAACAAUGCAUUUGAUCAAAUGUUCUGUGACAUGUACUUAAAUCAAUAAAGCAUUUGCAGUUUCUGCACAACAGGCCUGGUAUUUCUCCUUCAGAUCUGAAAUAUGAUUGACUGCAAGAUUAAAUGACUGAGGUCGGUGCCGACUGAGCCUGGUCCAAGGUGGUUCUACAACUACGCUAGGAACCUCUUCAGCAACAGUGGUUGGUAGUGGCCAAAGGCCAUGCUGUUGCAGAGUCUCUGAUUAGCUGGAAGUUUCACCAAACACGUUGUUAGUUGCUGUGCUGUUUGCCAACAUCCGUUCAGUGCAGAUUUCUGUUGGUGUUUUAUUGUUUUCUGUAUGCAAGGAAUGGUGGUUCCACGCCUUUCUGAAUUGUUCCAGUCGGCUUUGACUCUCAGGAAGAAAAACUAUGUGAAGAGAAAGUUUGUGCACAUCAUUGCUGGGAUCCAAGAGGGCUGAAUCUUUAAGAUUAUAAAAUGUGCUAUAAAAUGGUUCCAGAACAUGUAAAACCACAUCCCUCCAAAGACGCUCAACUCUGAUUAUGGAUGGAUUCCCCAGUUAGAUGACUCCGACGUUCAUCACCAGUGCCACAUUUUCUCCACUAUGGUCUGACCUCACUCUAGAAGGUAAACCAUAGAGGCCUAUUGCCUUGAGAAAAUGAAAUAGCACUGUUGAGAUGUGAUUGUCUGUGCUGCAGUUCAAGUAGGUAACUAAGCGAGAACAUCCAUUGAUGCCACCAUGGACCACAAAGCCCCACCUUGGGCCAAAAGAAAGUCGAUCUGCUCUUUUAUAAUAUGAAUAACUGGUCUACCUCGACCACCUAAAAUAGAAUCAUAUUUUAAAAUCGAAUCAUAUUUUAGGUGGUCUUAGCAUAAUGUUUACUUUAUACAUCUGUUUUUUUCUGUUUGUCUAUAUCUGUCUAUCCUCUGCAGGUGUCCCUGUAUCUCCUAAAGGUGACACUAUGCAUUUCACACUGUGUAUAAAUUUAUUUUGAUAUACAUAAUUUCCUGUUACAAAUGCAUGAACACAAAGCUUUCAACUUUUAUAGACGCUGGAAA